UACGGAAGGCAGCAGUGGGGAAUAUUGCACAAUGGGCGAAAGCCUGAUGCAGCUAUGCCGCGUGUAUGAAGAAGGCCUUAGGGUUGUAAAGUACUUUCAGCAGGGAGGAAAGAAAUAAAACUAAUAAUUUUAUUUUGUGACGUUACCUGAAGAAGAAGCACCGGCUAACUCCGUGCCAGCAGCCGCGGUAAUACGGAGGGUGCAAGCGUUAAUCAGAAUUACUGGGCGUAAAGAGCGCGUAGGUGGUUUUUUUAAGUCAGAUGUGAAAUCCCCUAGGCUUAACCUAGGAACUGCAUUUUGAAACUGAAAACUAGAGUAUCGUAGAGGGAGGUAGAAUUCUAGGUGUAGCGGUGAAAUGCGUAGAUAUCUGGAGGAAUACCUGUGGCGAAAGCGGCCUCCUAAACGAAUACUGACACUGAGGUGCGAAAGCGUGGGGAGCAAACAGGGAUUAGAUACC
rnacentral:rRNA from 1 species